CACUCCUACGGGAGGCAGCAGUGGGGAAUAUUGCACAAUGGGCGCAAGCCUGAUGCAGCCAUGCCGCGUGUAUGAAGAAGGCCUUCGGGUUGUAAAGUACUUUCAGCGGGGAGGAAGGCGAUAAGGUUAAUAACCUUGUUGAUUGACGUUACCCGCAGAAGAAGCACCGGCUAACUCCGUGCCAGCAGCCGCGGUAAUACGGAGGGUGCAAGCGUUAAUCGGCAUUACUGGGCGUAAAGCGCACGCAGGCGGUCUGUCAAGUCGGAUGUGAAAUCCCCGGGCUCAACCUUGGAACUGCAUUCGAAACUGGCAGGCUAGAGUCUUGUAGAGGGGGGUAGAAUUCCAGGUGUAGCGGUGAAAUGCGUAGAGAUCUGGAGGAAUACCGGUGGCGAAGGCGGCCCCCUGGACAAAGACUGACGCUCAGGUGCGAAAGCGUGGGGAGCAAACAGGAUUAGAAACCCUUGUAGUCCCA
rnacentral:rRNA from 1 species